rfam:Candidatus Roizmanbacteria bacterium RIFCSPLOWO2_01_FTLL_38_11 rifcsplowo2_01_scaffold_1609, whole genome shotgun sequence.
UCCUUUAAGAGUUUGAUCCUGGCUCAGGAUGAACGCUAGCGGUGUGUUUAAGAUAUGCAAGUCGAGCGAAUCCGAUUGUUAGCAUUGAGAGUAUGAGUUUAUGCUCUCUAUGCUGAUAGUCGAUAAGCGGCAGACGGCUGAGUAACACGUAGGAACCUACCCCUCGGUAAGGAAUAGCCCCGAGAAAUCGGGGGUAAUACUUUAUAGUCUCGCAAGAGUAAAGGGCAUAACUGCUCGCCAAGGGAGGGGCCUGCGGCCUAUCAGGUAGUUGGUAGAGUAAUAGCCUACCAAGCCUAUGACGGGUAGCUGACCUUAUGAGGGUGAACAGCCAGAAGAGCACUGAGACACGGGCUCUACACCUACGGGUGGCAGCAAUCAAGAAUCGUUGGCAAUGGGCGAAAGCCUGACCACGCGACACCGCGUGUAGGAAGAAGCUUUUCGGAGUGUAAACUACUGUGGUAGGGGAAGAAGUUCAGUGUAAGCUGAAUUGACGGUACCCUGCUAGAAAGAAGCCGCUAACUUCGUGCCAGAAGCGUCGGUGAUACGGGGGCUUCAAGCGUUAUCCGGUGUGACUGGGCGUAAAGAGUCUGUAGGCGGCCGUUCAAGUUACUUUUUAAAGAUCUCGAUCCAAUCGAGAGAAGGGAAGUAAUACUGUUCGGCUCGAGUUAUCUUCAGGGUAAUCGGAAUUUAUGGAGGAGUAGUGAAAUGCGUUGAUACCAUAAAGAACACCAGUGGCGAAGGCGGAUUUCUAUAAGAUAACUGACGCUGAGAGACGAAAGCUAGGGGAGCAAACCGGAUUAGAGACCCGGGUAGUCCUAGCCCUAAACGAUGCUCGCUAGUUGCAUUUUUCCUUCAAUUUUGACGGAAGGGUGUGGCGAAGCUAACGCGUUAAGCGAGCCGCCUGGGGAGUACGACCGCAAGGUUGAAACUCAAAGGAAUUGGCGGGGAGACACACAACUAGUGGAACAUGUGGUUUAAUUCGAUACAAACCGAAGCACCUCACCAAGGCUUGACAUCCAAAUGAAACUUUGAUGAAAGUCAGAGCCUCCGCAAGGACAUUUGGACAGCUGUUGCAUGGCUGUCGUCAGUUCGUUCCGUGAGGAGUGCCCUUAAGUGGGACAACGAACGUAACCUUCGUCCCGAGUUAUAUUUGUCUCGGGAGACUGCCCCGAUGUCUAUCGGGGAGGAAGGGGAAGCAGACGUCAAGUCAGCAUGACGCUUAUGCCUUGGGCGACACACAUGUUACAAUGAGAUAGACAAAGGGUUGCUAAGCGGUAACGUGGAGCUAAUCCCAUAAACUAUCUCUCAGUAGGGAUUGAGGUCUGAAACUCGACCUCAUGAACGCGGAAUUAGUAGUAAUCGUGGAUCAGCCAUGCCGCGGUGAAUACGUUCUUGUCUCUUGCACACACUGCCCGUCAAGCCAACAAAGUCGGUAGUGCCUGAAGGAUCACAUUUGUGGGACGAAGGCAAGAUCGGCGAUGGGGACUAAGUCGUAACAAGGUACCCGUUCUGGAAGGAGCGGGUGAAUCACCUCCUUU